rnacentral:tRNA from 1 species
UGGCUCAGCUGGUAAAGAAUCCGCCUGCAAUGCGGGAGACCCAGGUUUGAUUCCUGG